rnacentral:rRNA from 1 species
ACGGAAGGCAGCAGUGGGGAAUAUUGCACAAUGGGGGAAACCCUGAUGCAGCGAUGCCGCGUGGAGGAAGAAGGUUUUCGGAUUGUAAACUCCUGUCUUAAAGGACGAUAAUGACGGUACUUUAGGAGGAAGCUCCGGCUAACUACGUGCCAGCAGCCGCGGUAAUACGUAGGGAGCGAGCGUUGUCCGGAAUUACUGGGUGUAAAGGGUGCGUAGGCGGGGCUGCAAGUCAGAUGUGAAAUGUAUGGGCUCAACCCAUGAACUGCAUUUGAAACUGUGGCUCUUGAGUGAGGUAGAGGUAAGCGGAAUUCCUAGUGUAGCGGUGAAAUGCGUAGAUAUUAGGAGGAACAUCGGUGGCGAAGGCGGCUUACUGGGCCUUUACUGACGCUGAGGCACGAAAGCGUGGGGAGCAAACAGGAUUAGAUACCCUGGUA